rnacentral:rRNA from 1 species
UACGAAGGGGGCUAGCGUUGCUCGGAAUCACUGGGCGUAAAGCGCACGUAGGCGGGUCGUUAAGUCGGGGGUGAAAUCCUGGAGCUCAACUCCAGAACUGCCUUCGAUACUGGCGAUCUUGAGUCUGGGAGAGGUGAGUGGAACUCCGAGUGUAGAGGUGAAAUUCGUAGAUAUUCGGAAGAACACCAGUGGCGAAAGGCGGCUCACUGGCCCCGGUACUGACGCUGAGGUGCGAAAGCGUGGGGAGCAAACAGG